CUUCGAACAUCACCACAUACGUCACCAACACGCGCCUCGACCCAAGCUUCGAAAAAAAACUCGCUUAGAUCUUUGUACACGCUUUGAAGAUUCGGCACGCUCAGUACUUCACUACCUUCUACCAGUGGGUGGCAGUAAUUCGCCUUGGUAGCGUCUAAACUGCCUGAAAUAUAAAUAAGAAGAAGAAGGAGAAAGAGUGUGCAGUAAAGAGAGGGUGCUCUGUUGUUUUUCUGUAAGGAGAAACUAUGGCGGACAUGCAGAGGCUGAGGGAGCUGUUGAAACAGCGCAUGGCCACCAUGGCCGAUGAGAUCAUGGAUCUGUUCCAGACCACCAUCAGGGAGUUCGUCGAGGAGCGGUCUUCGCCUUCACCUGACUCGGGAGAAGAAGCGCUGUUCCCGCCACACAUGGCCCGGUCUCCGCAACAAUACACAGAGAUCCCAGAGCAGCCUUCCAUGGUCAAAUUGGAGAAGCAGGGGGUCUAUAGUCGUGAAGAAGAGCCUGUGCAAACACCCCCAAACACAAAGAUGUGUGUGAGUGAUAUAGUUGCUGUGAGUGCAGAGGAAACACAUGCCAACACACCCUGCACUACAAACGGUAACCAGGCUCUUCUUCCCUGUAUUAAAGAAGAGGAGGAGGAGGUGCGGUGUACCCCUGGAGAAGAGCGACAUUGACCAAAUCUUGAAAAUCUUCAGCUCAAACUUUAACACACUCCUCCUGGAGUGAUUUUCACUACUACCACUACUACUACUACUACUACUCCUACUCCAGCAAUGUUCUUGGAUGUGUUAGUGCAACAACAAAAAUCAUAAAUAUGUCUAAGUUUAUAUCUAAUAGUAUAUUUCUGUCUAUACCAAUCAAUAAUAAUGUAUUGAUAGUAUAAAAAUCACUGCUAUAUUAUGUCUUUGUAUGAACUUGAGGCAGGGCAUCAAAGGCGGUGCAACGAAGGUGGCACGGAAAAGAUGGC
rnacentral:lncRNA from 1 species